GUCAGGUCUUAAUGGGGAGGUGGCUGGUGGGGAUUUCUGUUUCCAGGGCGGAUGAGAGGUAAAGUGUCACCAAGAUGCUCAAAAUCCAAAGUCUUGUACUUACGGCUGCUUGAUUCUUGGAAGUCGAACCUAGUAAAGGAAGUAAAACGCAGGAUAUUUUCUGGAACGAUCUCCUGACGCAAGUGUUUACAGCUUUCCUGUCAGCACCCAGGGGGAGCUUUACGGCCACCAGACUCUCACAAGCUCUGGUUAGUUCCCUGUCCCCGGGCUCUAGGAAGCAGCCAGGCCGGCUGAAGGGCCUCGCCGGGUCACCUGGCGGCGUCCUGGCCGCCCGCACACGCCUCUCAUCCCGGUUGGCCCGGGCGGCAACAGGUGAGGCGCGGCCUGGCGCGAAUCACACAGGGGCCGGCCAAGCGCCCGCGCCCUUUGCUCUAGGCGACUGCGAGCUCGUGGAGGUAGGUCCCGGCGGCGGCGGCGGCUGCGCGGCGGCAGCGCCGAGACAGCUCCUGCACGGAGGCGGGAAGUCUUCCGCACGGGGGCGCUGCCACCUGCGCAGGGGAGGUUCCAAAGGGGAACCGGGUUUUUGUGCCGCUCCGACGCGCUGGAGUUGGGAGAACCCAUCCUGACCAUGAAGGGCAGCAAAGGCAUCGAGAACCCGGCUUUCGUCGCCUCCAGCCCGGACACCCCGCACCGUUUGUUUGCAUCGCCCUCUCACGUCGAAGUCUCUGACUUGGCCAUCAAAUCCCAGGGACCGAAUUCGAAGCCACAGGAGCCCCCGGAGUCCCAGACGUCACCGGAGGCACCCCAGCCUUCAGCGGCUCCCUCUGCUUCCCAGGAGCUGUCCAGGCCAGAGUCGCCGCCCGAGUUUGAGGAGGGACCCUGCGGGUGUGGGAACUUGCAACCGCAGUGCCUCCAGCCCUGCAACACACCCCAGGGCUUUCUGCUUUUCUAUUGCCUCUUGGCCCUCACGCAAGGUAUUGUAGUAAAUGGCCUCGUAAAUAUUAGCAUUUCCACUAUUGAGAAGCGCUAUGAAAUGAAGAGUUCCCUGACGGGCCUGAUAUCAUCAAGCUAUGAUAUCUCAUUCUGUGUGUUGUCUUUAUUUGUGUCAUUCUUUGGUGAAAGAGGACACAAACCAAGGUGGCUUGCAUUUGCAUCCUUUAUGAUAGGACUGGGAGCACUUGUAUUUUCACUGCCAAAAUUUUUUAGUGGAAAAUACCAAUUGGGGUCCCUAUUUGAAGAUACUUGCUCAGCAACAAAGAAUGGAGCCAGUUGUACCUCUUCAAGUUCUUCACUUUCUAACUACUUGUAUGUGUUCAUCUUGGGACAACUCUUGCUGGGAACAGGAGGAACUCCUCUUUAUACCCUGGGAACAGCUUUUAUUGAUGAUUCUGUGCCCACACACAAAUCUUCUCUUUACAUAGGAAUUGGCUAUUCUAUGUCAGUAUUAGGCCCUGCUAUUGGUUAUGUGUUGGGAGGACAGCUGCUAAGCAUGUACAUUGAUGUGAACAUGGGACAAAGCAUAGAUAUUACUGAAGAUGAUCCACGAUGGCUGGGGGCAUGGUGGAUUGGAUUUCUUCUGUGUUGGCUCUUUGCUUGGUCUUUGAUAAUUCCUUUUUUAUGCUUCCCAAAACAUUUACCAGGUACAGCAAAAAUUCAAGGUGAAAGAAUUUCCCAGACUCACCAGGAUAAGAGUAGUUCCUUAAAAGACACCGAGGAGAGUUUUGGAACAAGCUUUAAAGAUUUUCCAGCUGCCCUAAAGAAUUUGAUGAGGAAUACUGUCUUUAUGUGUUUAGUUUUUUCAACUUCCUCAGAAGCCUUAAUUACUACUGGAUUUGCUACAUUUUUACCUAAAUUUAUAGAAAAUCAAUUUGGAUUGUCUUCCAGCUUUGCAGCUACCCUUGGAGGGGCUGUUUUAAUUCCUGGAGCUGCUCUUGGUCAGAUUUUAGGUGGUGUACUUGUUUCAAAACUCAAAAUGACAUGUAAAAACACAAUGAAGUUUGCUUUGCUCACAUCUUUAGUUGCACUUGUGCUGAGUUUUGUAUUUGUUUAUGCCAACUGUGAAAAUGAGCCUUUUGCCGGUGUGUCUGAAUCAUAUAAUGGGACAGGAGAACUGGGAAACUUGACUGCUCCUUGUAAUGCCGGUUGUAACUGCUUUCAAUCAUAUUAUUAUCCUGUCUGUGGAGGAGAUGGGGUCCAGUAUUUCUCUCCCUGCUUUGCAGGUUGUAAAAAUUCUCUUUUAAAAAGACAGCCAAAGGAAUAUUACAAUUGUUCCUGUAUUGCAAGGAAUACAGAAAUAACUCCUACUUCGGCAAGUUUUAUUUCUGAAGCUAAAGCUGGAAAAUGUGAAAGUCGAUGUGCAAAUUUGCCCAUAUUCCUUGGCAUUUUCUUUGCUACAAUUAUCUUUACAUUUAUGGCUGGUACUCCUAUAACUGUGUCCAUCCUAAGGUGUGUUAAUCAGAGGCAACGGUCCCUAGCAUUGGGAAUACAGUUUAUGCUGCUUCGAUUAGUUGGCACAAUACCUGGACCAAUUAUAUUUGGUAUCACAAUAGACAGCACAUGUAUUCUGUGGGAUUUUAAUGAAUGUGGAACUAGAGGCGCUUGCUGGAUUUAUGAUAACAUCAAGAUGGCCUACAUGCUAGUAGCCAUAAAGAUGAAGAGCAAUCUAACAGGGAUUAUGUGGCAUGCCAGAAAAAUGACAAGGUUAGUGCCAAGGGUAAGUAUGAUACCUAUUUUUUCACAUUAUUUUAACAAAUUUAGAGUAUGUGGCUUUCCAGAGAGUCAAAUUCAGCAUCUAAAUUUUAAUAUCUCAUUCUACUUUCCAUAGUGUUAUGAAAGAAGAAUUUUUUUUUAAAUAACUGACAAAGAAGACAUGGUUAAAUUAUGAGAAAAAGUCUUUAUAAUUAAAGUUUUAAAAUUUGUAAGAUAUGAGAAAUCAUGUUCAAGUCAGGUUCUGGAACUUUCUUUUCAGGAGAUUAUACUUUAUUGAUAUUUUUCCAUAUUACUUAAAAUUACAAUAUUGUUAUAGGAGUGUUGAAACAAAUAAAAUAAUCCUAUUAUCCCUUUAGUCCUUUCUCAAUCUUUGUCUAUUUAAUUUUAUAAAACUGGAAAAUGCAAUCGUGUUACAAGGAAUGUUGCUCUACUUCACUCCCCUCCCUCCACCUUUCAUUUAUAAUCUCAUGGACAUAGUCAAUAACUCUCUAGGUAUAUCUAACCCACUGUUCAAGCAACCUCAUAGAUUUCCAGUGUAUGAAUAUAAUGAUUAGUUUAAUAUUCCUUUCCUUAAUUAAAAAAAAUAAUAUGGCAGUCCACUAUGUUUAAUUAGGUUUGAAUGCACUUCUGGUCAGACAGGAGAUGAAUUUGAUGAGUCUAUCAGUUACCAAGACUAGACAAUCUUACAUGGUGGUAUAUAAUAUAGUCUUUCUGAUAGGUUUGAUACUUCAGGACAUAAAGUGAUCUUAGAAGGAAAUUGAAAGAAGAUAAAGUUUUCUUUGUCAGUAUUUUUGAAACCAUGUCAUUCAACUUCAUAGAUCUGAGACUGGUAUCUUAGAAAUAUUUCAAAGGAGUAACAAAUUUUGAAUAGAACAUGAAGAGGACAAGAUUAAAUUUAUAUGGCCAAUUAAUCUAUGACAAAAGAGGCAAGAAUAUACACUGGGGAAGACAACCUCUUCAACAAAUGGUGUUGGGAAAACUGGAUGGCAACAUGCAAAAGAAUGAAACUGGACCACUUUCUUAUACCACACACAAAACAAAUCCAAAAUGGAUUUAAUCUUUAGUCCAGUAUAAUAAUGACAUGGUUUCCUCAAUCAAGGGAAACAAAAGAAAAUUUAAUCUAUCAGAACUACACCCAAAAUAAAAAGGAUUUUGCACGGAAAAGGAAAGAACAAGGAAAUACUAACAAAACAAAAAGGCAACCUAUGCAGUGGGAGAAGAUAUUUGCAAAUGAUACAUGCAAUAAGUUAAUAUCAAAAAUAUAUAAAGUAUUUAUGCAACUCAACACACAUGCAUACACACACACACACACACACACACUCAAUCCCAUUAAAAAAAAGGACAGAGGAACUGAAUAGACAUUUAUCCAAAGACGACAUACAGAUAGCCAACAGACACAUGAAAACAUCCUCAACAUCACUAAUCAUUAAGGAAAUGCCACUCAAAUUCACAAUGAGAUAUCAUCUCACACCUGUCAGAAGGGAUAGAAUCAAAAAGACUAGAUAUAACAAGUGCUAAUGAUGAUGUGGAAAAAAAAGGAAUUCCCAUGCAUUGUUAGUGGGAAUGUAAAUUGGUGCAGUCACAGUGAAAAACUUGUGGAGGUUCCUCAAAAAAUUAAUAAUAGAAUUAGUGUAUGAUUGAGUAAUUCCACUACUGGGUAUUUACCCAAAGAAAAUGAAAAUACUAAUUCAAAAAGAUAUGUGUACUUCUAUGUUUAUUUCAGCGUUAUUUAAAAUAGCCAAGAUAUAGAAGCAACCCAAGUGUCCACUGAUAGAUGAAUAGAAAAGAAGAUGUGGUAUGUGUAUGUGUAUAUAUAUAUACAUGUAUAUAUAUGUGUGUGUAUAUAUAUAUGUAUAUAUAUAUAUAAAAUUAUAUGACAUCAUGGAAUAUCAUAUAUAUAUACAUAUAUACGUGUGUGUGUAUAUAUAUAUGUAUAUGUGUAUGUGUGUAUAUAUAUAUAUAUAUAUAUAUAUAUAAUGGAAUCUUACUCAACUAUCAAAAAAGAAUUAGAUCUUGCCAUUUACAACAACAUUGAUGGACCUAGAGGAUAUAAUGUUAAGUGAAAUAAGCCAGAGAAAGACUAAUACCAUAUGAUUUCACUUAUACAUGAAAUUUAAGAAACAAAACAAAUAAAAAAGACGAACUCAAACUCUUAAAUACAGACAACAAACAGGUGGUUUCCAGAGAGAAGGUGUGGAGGAGGAGGGGUGAAAUAGAUUGAAAAACAAACCAAAAAAAGAAAGAUAGAUUAGAGUGACAUUGUAAAUCAUCCAGUAGUAAUCGUGGAAGAACAUAAUAAUUUUAAAAAGUAUGAAAGAUACUCUCUUUGCAGGACUGUUUGACAAAUUAUGAUUACAGAGCAUUAAAAAAAAUAACAUAAAAAAUAACACAUGGAAUACCAAUGGAAGUAUAUGAGGUUAAGAUAGUCAAGGAAAAGAACAAGAUCUCUUAGACAAAUGAAAUUUUGAAGGAAAUUAUACAACUUCGAAUGAUGUAUCUUUACAAAAUUGAAAAUAAAAUAAAAUAUUUUAAAAUAUUAAAUUACAUCCAAAUAUGACAUGCGAAAUUCUAAGAUUUUAAAAAAGUACACAUAAUUUUCAUGUCUUUUAGAAAUUAUAUGAGAAAAAAGACUUUGGGUUUUUCAAGUUUAUAAUAGGUAGGAAUUUAUUUGCAAAGUAGGUUCUGGACUCCGGUCAUACUAUAUUAUUAAGUUUUCUUAUCGAGUAAAUAUUGUAAUAAAUACUUAUGUCAGGAAGACUAACCAAUUCAUUUCCAUAUUCUGUUUUUAUUUAAAUACAAUAUGAAAAUUCAGUUAUAAGGAGGUUUGGUGUAGAAAUCAGAACAGAAAAACUAGCUUUUUUUUUUCACAUUGGGUUACUCUUGAACUAUGCUACUCAAAAAUAAUGUAUUUUUUAAUCUCAGAUGUCUUACUUCCCAAUUAAUUUUAGAAACAGAAAUAAUGUAGAAUUGUUUGUCAACACUUGGAAGAAUUGCAGGUGUUUUGUGUGUUUUUUUUUUAAUGCAGGUGUGAUUCCAAUUUUGAGUUACGAAAUUAUUAUUUUCAUUUAGAACCUUCUUCUUUCAAUCACAUUUCCAUGAGAAAUUAUUUUGUGCAAUAUAAAAGUUAAAAAAAAUAUUUUUAAAUCACACUGAAGAAUAGUGAAAUAAUAAGUGUAUGACUCAUUUUAUCAUUCAUGAAGUGUGUCAGCCUGAGGGUUGAUAAGACAAUGUUGUACCAAAAUGCAUCAAUUGAAUGUCAACACGUAGGUACCAAGGGAUCUCUGAUAUAACUUCUAAAAUUUCUGUGAGGCAUACUUUUUCUUAAAAGUAAGACAAAAAAGAAAAAAUGUGAUAAAAAUGAUGGAAAAUCAUGAAACUAGAUGGAAUUUUUGAGUAACUAAAAUCGUUUAGACACACCUCAUUUUUAAAUUUUCUAUUAAAUUAAGGCUCAGAGAGUUUAGAUGACUUGCCCCAUUAGGAGUGAUUCAGAUCAUUUCUAUUGUUUUACAGUUAAGAACUUGACCGAGGAGCUUGUCCUUUUGAAUCAGAACAGAUUCAGAUUCAUUCAGAUUCAAUGGUUGGCAGAGAGGUCCUCUGAGGAAACACUGCUAGUGUAACGUGAGGGCCCUUUAUUUGUCUGAAAUAGAGGGCAUUUCCAGAGAGUUUUUCUCAGUCUAUGAGGGUGAUAAGUUUAGCCAAGAAUACCAAUAACCCAGCUAGCCUCUCCAAAUAAAAUUAAAAUAGCCAGUACUUCUUAAGGGCCUUAUUGCCAAUGUAGUAUCUAAGAGUUUAAGUUCUUCAGUGACCAUAGCAGUGUUUGAAAACCAUUUCCUAAAAUACUGUUUGUGUGACCUUAAGUGACACUUUCAACAUCUCUAAGCUUCUACUUUUUAUAUUUAGAUCAAGUACAUGCCAUGUACUGUUAGAAUGCCUACUAAAAGCUAUGUGUAAAACUAUUUAGUUUAGCGCCUGGUACAUGUUUAUUCUCAAGAAAAAGUAAUCAUUAUUUUAGAUUUCAUAUAUGAUUUUUACAUAACUAUAAGAUAUAGAUAAUACAGUUUUCUUAGGGAUGAAGGAACUAAACCAAUUUAAGAAUGUCAAAUAACAACUAAGUAGUAUAACUGAUCUCCAAACCCAGGUUCUUGUCUCAAGUUCCAUACCUGGCUCACACAUUAGAUUUGCCUAAUGAUUUAUAUAAUGCUAUGUCUGAGCUUACUCCUAAACAUGUUGAUUUAAAUAAGAAUCCUAAUGUUUAUUCAGAACUGACAGCUUUUUUACCCAAUGCUUCUCUAUGAAAAAUGCUUCCCAUGGUAUCUGAUAGUAUGUUUUAAUAAUUAAAGAGAAAGAUUCUAUUAUUCUUGUUAUUAUUUUAUACACCUGAACAUGUCCAACAAAUUUCUCCCAUUCUCUCCCACAGAAUAUCAAGCAGGUUUUUUUAUUGAUUAAAUAUCAGUAUUUAUUGAUAAAUUGAUUAAUUGAAUUGUUUACAUUUCCUGAGUUGUUUCAAAAUUCUUUGUUACAAUAGGUUCUAAUAGCCUCAACUGGAUAUUUCAAAAAUAAUCGGAAUAAGGGAAAUAAAUUCUCCAGCAAAAUUUAACCAGUGAAGACCGUAACUAGUCAAAGAGGAAGGAAGAGAUGAGGAGCUGAGCUGAAGGAUACAAACAUACAAAAUUUAGCAUAGUUACUUGUGAGGCUGGAACUGAAAACAUGAGCCUGGCAAAUAGAAUCUGAUAAUGUGUUUUAGACACUGAUGGCCACAAUAUUGGAUAAAACAGCCCAAGGUUCAAAAAUAAGUAACAUAAAAAUAAAAAGGAAAGGGAAAGGAAGGGAAGGGAAGGGAAGGGAAGGGAAGGGACGGAUUGCCAGAAAACACCAUCACCACCAAGAUUGAUAUAAAUAGAAGCAUAAUUAUAAUACUUAUUUUAGAAACAUGUGAUAAUACAAGUAAUAAAUGACUGAAUACAGGUUGGAUAAAAAUUAUUACAGUAGGUAAUGAAUGGAGGGCAAUACAUAAGAAAUAUGAUAUUUUGGAGGGUGAUGGGCAAAAUGGAUGAAGAGGAGUGCAAGGUAAAGGCUUCAAGUUGUGGAACGAAUUAAGUCAUGAGGAAGAAAGGUAUGGUAUAAAGAAUAUAGUCAAUAGUAUUGUAAUAGCGUGGUGUGGUGACAGAUGGUAGCCAUACUUGUGGAGAGCAUAGCCUAAGGAUAGAUUUGUUGAAUCAUUAUGUUGUACGUCUAAAACUAAUAUAACAUUGUGUGUUAAUGUUACUUCUAUAAAAAUAAUAUAUUUUUAUCUGUCUUAAUAAGAAAUUAGUGGAUACUAUCUAUAACUGACAAUGAAUUAACAACAAAUAAUAUUAUUUAGUAACUAGUAAAUAAGAAGGAACAGAAAACAAACUUGAUCUCUAGUCAGUAGGUUGGUAUAUGUGUGGGGGAGUGGGGUGAAGAGUUCAGUGUUAGUGGAACUUAUUUUUAUUAAGAUCUCAGCACUGUUUGACAUUUCAAACUCUAUGUAUAUAUUACUUAUAUAAAGCUUAAAGUUAAAAACCUUUUGAUUUAUUCAGGGAAACUAUUUUCAUGGAGAAUAACAGAGACUUACAAAGGGUUUUGUGGGUGUUUUAGUGGAAUGUCUAAAAUUUUCCUUCAAUUACAAUUUCUUUAUUUUGAGAGAGAGACAGAAAAACAGAGAGAGUGAGUUUGGGAGGGGCAGAGAGAGGGGAGAAUCCCAAGCAGGCUCUGUGCUGUCAGUGUAGAGUUGAAGGUGGGGUUUGAACUCACAAACCAUGAGAUCAUGACCUAAGCCAAAAUCAAGAGCCAGGCACUUGACUGAACCACCCAGGCGCCCCCCUUCAGUUACAAUUUCUUAAACUUUGAUACACCUUUGAUAGCAUAUCAUCUUUCACUCUAUUUCAUGCAUGUAUUUAUGAAAAAGAUGCACAGGAAUUGAUGUAUCUCAAAGGGAAGCCCAUUGUUUGAAGACUUUGUUCAAAGUCCUGAUUUCUGAGAUUUGGGAUUUAUCUGAAAAUAUGGAAUGUACACGGACUCUGUGUCUGCACAUGAUGCCAGAAUAAUUAGCUAAACAAUGAAGAAUGUAAUCAGUCAAGGGAAUGCAAAAAGUCUUGAUUCAUUGCCAAGUUUUUUCUACCUUGUAUGGAUACAGGCUCAAUGCUUGCCAGCAUUUAUUUAAAAAAAAAAAGUGUUUUAGAUUCAUUUGCUAUGAAUGGUUAAAUAUAACUCCAAGUUUUCAGUGUCCACACACCCACACACAUAUUCUUUCUUUCUUUUUUUUUUUUUUUUUUUUUCCUCCUUCAAGAAAUCAAACCUUGAGUUUUAGGUAAAGUGUUUUUUUUUUUUUUUUGUUUUUUUUUUUUUUUUUUUUUUUUUUUUUUUUUUUUUUUUUUUUUUUACCACAGUAGUAGAAGUAUUCUGGGAACAGAAUACUUCAUUUUUAUGCUCUGAAGCACAUUAUUUUGUUGAAAACUAGAUACAGGCAGCUUAUGGCAUUAAAACAAUCAGGAGUUGGUCAGAAAGGCAGACUCUGUGAGUCAUUCACAUGGAAUAAAUUUUAGGUCAAUGUGUGCCUUACGAGUUAUGUGCUCCACAGAGCUUUGUGAAUUAAAAAGGUCUGUGUACACACAACAAUAAAGUACUCUGAAAAUCAAAGUAAUCAUUAUUUCUCCAUUACUGAUAAGCAGUCUGUCAAUACAAAUGAAUACACCUUUUUUAAAAAAAAUUAAAGGUAAAGGAAAAGAGUUUUAUUCAAGUCCAAGUUAGGACUGCUGCCCAGGAUACACGAUCUUCAUUCACAAAGAAGAAAGUGCUCCACGGAAGGACCAUUCAGGGUUGUAUAUACUUUUUACAUAAAGAGUUACAAAUCAAAAGGCAUUGCAGAAAGUAACAGACCUUAUCUUAAGCUUUUAAUAUAUGCAGGACUGCAUGAUUCCAAUCCUGUGGGAACUAAGGAGGUUUUACUCGUAUCUUUAUGUUUAGAAUGUUUCCUCCAAGGUUAUUUGUUAAUGAAGCAGAUGUACAAUGUGUACUCUGGGCAGAAACUGAGUCCGUGUGCUUUGAGGUUUUGUUGAUUUGGGUGACUGUUAAAGUAUGGUUCCUCUGAGACCCCUUGAGCAGGGUGGGCCCACAAACAUUAAAAGUUGAAAAUUUCCUUCAUUUUAUCAAGUCUGAAGCUUUAAGAUUGAGAAAAUGAGAAAUCAUCUACUGAAUUCACUGAAUAUCUAUAUAUCAGAAGCUUUAAAAUUAAACUAAUAAAAUAAAAAGUUCAUAAUGUUGCUAAGAUGCUACCACGAGAAAUAACAAGCCUGAAGGAUCUCCCAAAAAGGACCUCGCAGUCUUUUUUCUCUUCCCUCCUACUAGUACCUUUCUGACAUGCUUGUAUUCCAUCAUAUUUUCUCUAGUCACAAAAUACGAGGCUCUUGGACCUGAACUAUGACACUGCCUGGAACAGUAACAUGUGCAAUCCCAACAAUGGCUAACUUUACAGUGAUAGUGUUAUUUUAUGUUAUUUAUGAAUUCGUGAAUAUUAAAACAGCAUUAAUAUUGAACAAAGGCAAGGGAAAAUCUGGGGUGUAUGAUAGUGUGUACAAAUAAGUAAGAUUACAGACUAGUUUUCAAUGAAGUAUCUUGUUUUUAAUCACUCAGAAUUAACUAAGAUAAAACUUUUGUUUUUUUUAAUUUUCUUUUUUUUUCAAAGUUUAUUUACUUGAGAGAGAAAGAGAGAGAGAGAAAAUCCCAAGCAGGCUCUACACUGUCAGUGCAGAGCCAGAUGCAGGGCUUAAUCCCAGGAACAAAGAGAUCAUGACCUGAGUUGAAAUCAAGACUCAGAUGCUUAACCAAGUGAGUCACUCAGGCGCCCUGAACUUAGUUUUGACUUCAGUUUUUUACAUUUGUUCUCAGGCUUUCCUGAGGGUAUUGUUUCUGAAAGUCAAAGAGUAAUUUAUUCUUCAACAUUUGAAAACUAAGGUCUUGGGGAACUAUAUCUACUUUUGUAAAUAUUAGUUUGUACAUUUCCUCAUAUAGCCACCCUCAGAUCAGUGAUAGGUGAAAAUUUAAUAUUGCAAAACCAAAUAUUCCAUGAACUUCGGUACAUCUCCAAAUCAAUGUGAGAGGCAAAAUAUCUUGGAUAAAAAAUUCCAAUAUUGCAAAACUAGCAUAAUGCUGUUAGUUUAAUGCCAAUACAAAUGACAUUUUGUUAAAUAUAUGGUUCUUUAAACUUUAAGCUUGUUCUUUUUUUUCUCUUUUCUUGCCUCCUGGAUGUCAUUUUUUCUCCUGUUCCCAACUGUCUUCUUGUUUAUAUUGUAUAUAAGUUGCCUGAAUCAGUUCUCAAGUCCAAGACAUGCGUUUCUGAUUCUCCAAAUAGAAUCACAUACUCAGUGCUACCAAAACUGGAUUUACACAUUGCUCUUCUUGUUGACUAUACUUAUUCCAUUACUUGCCUCAAGGUCACACAGAUUCAAAUCAUAAAUCUUUGGACUCUUGAAUUUCUUACUAAACUAAGAUACUGUCAAUGCCCAACCACAUUCCCUCAGCACAUCCUAGGGAGCUUAUUCACAGACCUUUGCCCUACUUGCUGGCAUCCUGAGGGAAUUUUCUAGUCAUGGGAGCAGGUUUGACCCAUAUAUGGAACUUGCUGAAAGUGCCAGGAAGUUGAUUGCUUAUAAUUUAAACCAACAUUUUAAGCUAACAUUUAAAAUAUAUAAAACAAAGACUUUGAAAAUAUUGAAGUUAGUUACCUAAGGAAGGUUUUCUGUGAUUUUAUGGAGACUGCAUAAUUUUAUAUACUCAGCUACUGAUUUAUGGAAAUAUUAUAGAGAAACUUGCAAAAACAGCUGUCAGAAAAUGGAAAGAAAUGUCAAAGUGUCCUCAUAGUGCUAGCAUAAAACAUACAUUUCUUUUAUCAUAUUGCCCAUUUUUUUAAAGAAGAUGUGGAAAUCUCUGCCUUAAACAAAUCAUAAAAAUUACAUUCCUUGUCACACAAAUCUAGUAAAUGUGUCCUCUAUCCACCUAGUUCCUAUACCAGGGCAUUAUCUGCCAGUCAUUUUGUUCCAUGGCGUAUUUAUUAUGAGCUUGCUAUUUUCUAUGUGGCUUAUCCAUGACCUGUUAGUAAUUUUUUCCUAAGCAAUAAAAGAAAGGUCAUGACUAAAAUCAUGAUGGAGUACCACAACUGGGGAGAAGAGAAGUAUGGGGGAAGUCGAUCCAUGGGGUAUAAGCAGACUGCUAGCCCAAUUAACUUUGAGUCUUCCGGUAUUGUCAAUAGUGCUGGUGUUGCUGACCAUUCAGUCAGUGCUGAAAGAGUUGGUAGAAAGGUUCCCGAUGGUUCAGACAGGAAUUAACGUAAGGGACCUCUCCCAAAUCAUCAUCAGAAACAUAAUGCUAAAAUGUAAAAAGUUUAUUGGUUAUAUCUUAUUGGUCUGCUACUGGCCUAGGUAUAAAAAGUGCCUCCGAAAUGGAGUACAGGGGCACCUGGAUGGCUCAGUGGUUAAGCAUCCAACUCUUGAUUUUGGUUCAGGUCAUGAUCUCAAGGUUCCAGAGUUUGAGCCCUGCACUGAGCCCCACAUUGGGCUCUAUGCUGACAGUGCGGAGCCUGCUUGGGAUUCUCUUUCUUCCUCUCUCUGCCCCUCCCCUGCUCAUGCUCUGUAUCUCAAAAUAAGUAAAUAAAUUUAAAAAAUGAAAAAAAAAAUGUAGAGUACAGAACACGCCAUAUAUAUCCUUGCAUGCAUUCAAAUUAUCUCAUAUUUGGCACUUGACGAAAUCAAUACAGAUCAGAUAUAUUCAGAACCUGUUAUGUUCCUAAAACCAGUUCAAAUGUCUUCACCUAUGUUAAAUUCUUGAGUCCACACAACCUUUUCAGGUGAGUUUAAUAGAUGAGGAAAUGGAGAUUUGAGAAGAUUAAAUGACUUUGUUAUUCAAAUUAACCACUAUAAAAUGAUGAAAGAAUACACUUAAGGUACAGUAACAUGAAACCUCAUUCUCUUCUCCCUGCAAACACACACACAAAGUAUCUUUUUGAGGCAGGUUUAGAUCCAGUAAAUAAUUGUUCUGAACAACCUAUAACUAAACGUAGUCCAGGAAAUGGGUUUCAAUACUUAGAAAUAAUAACAUGCAUCAUAAAAUGUACUGAAUACUAACAGAAGCCCUGGAUAAGUAGAAGACCAUAGGAAAUCAUCUACAUUGUUUGACAACAUUUGACUUUUUUCCCACUGAUAAAUAAAACGAAAGAAACAGCAGUAUAAAUAAAUCAGUUGUAAUCACUAUUUACCUUUUAUAACUUUUACUUCUCUUCACAAAAUAAAUCAGAAAUAAAGUUAUAUCACAUCAAAGUUUACUGGCCCAGCAUUGCCACUGUCAGAGAAUUUAGAAGAGAAAUAGAAAUGCUACUUUACCCCCAGAUGCCUCUUUAUCUUCCUCUAAUCUUCAAUUGACCUUUUUACCACACUUUCAAUGCAUUCUCUUGGCUUUUAUCACUGCUGGCAAAUAUGAAGAGGUGGGAAAAUGUUGAAAAAAGGCUUAAAAUACUCUUCAGGAUUGCUGUCUUCUCAGAGGGAGGAAAACUGCAUUAAUUUGACUUCUUUUUCCUUUGGCUUACUUCCCAAUAUGAAUGGUCAUAACCCUCUAAAAGAUUUGUCUCUUCCUCUCCCCCCACUCCCCAUCACACUUAAAAUAAUGUUUUCACUAGACUAAUGUUUUUCAAAAAACAGAGCAAAGAUUUGGCUUCAAGCAGAUUUUGUUUUCCUACCCUGCAAAACUCUUUUAGAAAAAAAAAAAAAAAGAUCUGGUUAAAGCCUUGAAAAUGGAAAAGGGUAAACUACAGAGAAUACAAAUAUUCUCACUUGUUUUUCCUUAUGCCUGAGAACAAAGUUUCUUGAAAAUUACCAAACUUAAAAAGAAAGGUCUGAUGAUUUGUCGUUUUUUCUCUCAUGAUUAUACACAUUAUCCUCUGUGGAAUUAGGUGGUUCAAAGGAAUAAAUAUUAGGAAAUGGAGUUCUCAAUUAAGGGUACUCUUUUAUUUUUAAUUAACUAUGUCCAUAAAUAAAAGGAGCUCUUAAAUGCAGUUACUAUUCUUUAUUUAAUGGUGAGAUUUAAAGGAUUUGUCAGGGGUAUCCAUAGAUCGGAGCCUGGAUACUUGCAUACCACUUGCCUUUCCUUCGAUUAGAAUGAAAUUAUGAGAAGAAAUAUGGGUUUAUGUAAUUAAAUAUGGUAUUAAUUAAUCAUAAUUAUAUAUUAUUCUUUGUAAUAAUUACUGUAAUAAUAAUAUGCUAUUCAUUCUUAGUUUUGACUAUUUGGCCCUGUUCUUUCAUAUGGUAUUUGUUACCUGUAACUUUGGGGAUCCAGAGAUCUUUUUUUUUUCCAUUUUCACAAUAUUCUAAUUCUCUAAGUUUAGAGAAAUCAAGUCAGCAUCUCUGCUUUCAGGAAUGAGAUUUUUCUUUGUGUAGCAAAACAAAUAAGUAAAUAGCAGGCAUCUGUGCAAAAGCUUUAUUGUAAUCACAAAAUCCAGAGCAUGGGGUUUCUGAAAAGUUCUUGACAUCAUUGAUUCAGCCUUUAAAGGAACAUCCUAAUAGAAAAACUUCAGAAUUAAAAAAAAAAAAAGCAAAAAAAAUUCUAGUUGUAAAAUACUGUGAUACUUUCAGAUUCUUGCUAUUUGUCUCUGUCAUUGAUAUUUUAUGAGGGUCAUCUAGGAAAAUGGAGCUUAAUCUCCAUCUUCAGUUAUACUAUUUUAAAAACUGGCCCAUCAAUAGGUAGAAAAAGAUUGCCUUCAAAAUGAUAUGGAUCAGCUCUGUGUUUUCUUCUAUAACAUCGCUACAGUACAAAGAUGACACCGGAGAGCCAUCAGGAACAUGGACAAGUCGUACUUAAUCUAAAAACAAAGGUAAAGUGCCUUCUUACUGAGUGUCAUAAAAGCAAGGACAAGCCUACUGAGGGUGGAGAAGCUGCUUUUACCAAAUCAAAUUUUCUCUCCCAGCCUAACGUAUCAUCUAGCUUUAAUUGUAGUCACAUGCUUAAAAAAUCCUUUUGGUCAUUCCUGGUAUUCCAAAAUUUGCAUUUCAUCAUUUGAAAUUUGGAAGUAGAGAGGCUCAUAUUAUGCUAACAUCAACCUUUGUUUUAAAGGGGAAAAGUUGCAUCCCCCCCAUAUUAAUAUGUAGAAAGGGUGAAGAAUUAUGAGGUAAGGCAUUGGACUAACAUCCUUUCCUCACAAAAUAAAUUUUCUAGGAAUAAUAAACCCAUUAUGUGAAAUCAUGUAUUAGGGCUAAAUAUUUAUGUUUUGAUAUUUAUGUAUUCAAAUAAUAGUGUUUACUUCCUAUAAUUUAUCUGCUUUUUCUUACAAUGCUAUGACCUUGUAGGCUAGCACAGUUCUCAUGUCCUUCCAUGCCAACCUCUCUAUAUUAAUUUAUAAUACAGUAAACUCAUUCAAAUUCAGCAACUCAAACAAUUUUAAUUCUGAUAACUUGGUAAUGUAUUCUCUUUGGGAUUGUUCAACAUGUCAAUUUUUUUUUUUUGUCAUCCCCAGCUGUUUUCCAAGAUGUCUUCUGUCAGGAUCUCCCUUAAAUCAGUGUUUCCUUUCUGUAAUGAUAUUUAUCUAUUUCCUUUCUUGAGAUCCUAGUGGUAUAUAGUGAUUGAAAGGAGAAAGAAGCUUAUGAAGAGAAAAAUAUAAAUCAGGAGGUAUUUAACAAACGUGGCACUUCUUACACAUGACCUGCCUUUAUUUUCCUACUUGCAUAAAUGAAUGCUAAUAAAUAGGCACUUCUAAGAGUAGAUUGUUACUUUGUUUUUCCCAGUAAUGCUAAAAGAUUCAUGUAAAUAUUCGUUCUCUUUUUCUCAAAUAAAUUAAGUGAAACAUCAUGAAAAUGAAUGAUCUAGAAUAAGUGAAUAAUAAUAGAAUAAGUGAAUAAUAAUAGAAUAAGUGAAAAAUAAGAAAGACACUUUAAGAAUAAUACUGUGAUAUGAGAAACCAUGUGGAAUGCUCAGACUGUAUUUCUACCACACAUGGAGUUCUGUAAGAUCUUUUCUUUCCAUUAUUCACACAUUUGGAUAUAUAUAUCUAUUCUAUCUCUGUUUCUAUCUGUCAACUCCAACAGUACCACACCAUUUUGGAGUAGAGGAACAAUUACAUUUAGGAUGAUUUAUUUUUGUAAUUUUUUAAUGUUUAUUCAUUUUUGAGAGACAGAGACAGAGCAUGAGCAGGAGAGGGGCAGAGAGAGAGGGAGACACAUAAUCUGAAGCAGGCUCCAGGAUCCCAGUUGUCAGCACAGAGGCCAACAUGGGGCUCAAACCCACGAACUGAGAUCAUGACCUGCUCCAAAGUUGACUGCUCAACUGACUGAGCCACCCAGGUGCCCCACAUUUAGGGUGACUUAUAUACUAUAACCGGUUUCAGUGCUGAGGGGAUAGCAAAUUUCUUUAUUCAUGCCUGUUUGUGACUCAGGACAUUUAGGAAAGAUCUGAAUGAGGUUUUCCUAGUAGCCACAAUGUGUUCUUAUUUUUCUCUGUAAUUUAUAACUUUAUGCUAUUGUGAAAAUCAAAAACAAUAUCUGCAGACAUUAGGUCCAAUACCUUCUUUUAUACUCAUUCUCUGUUUACUCAUUUCCUAUUCUCUCUUCAACCCACUCUAAUCAGAGUUGCAUUUCCACUGCUCCACUAAAGUUACUUUUUAAAAAAUAUUUAUUUAUGUAUUUUUGAGAGAGAGAAUGAGAGCAUGAAAGCAGGGGUGGGGCAGAGAAAGAGGGAGAGAGAGAAUCCCAAGCAGGCUCCAUGCUGUCAGUGCAGAUGUAGGGCUCAAUCUCAUGAACUGUGAGAUCAUGACCUGAGCCAAGAUCAAGAGUCGGACACUCAACCGACUGAGCCACCCAGGUGCCCCUAAAGUUACUCUUGUAUAAGUGCUUUGUGAUCUCUAUCUUUGAAACCCAGUGGAUGAUCCACAGUGUUCCCUUACAGGAUCUCUUAGCAUUUAACACCAUUGGUCUAUCUCACCUUUUCCAAUAUUUUCUUUACUUGACUUCUGGGUUACAACAGUCUUCAGAACCCUGCACACAUAAUUUUACUCUUACUUCACAAGUGUUUCCUUUUUAGACUCCUCUGAUUUCUUCUCCUUUUUUUUUUUUAACUCGUAGCCAGAAUUACUAUCAAACUCCAUUAAUUGGGACAGAGACCCUUGUGGUGUUAGGAAAGACUUGCCCCUCAUGUAGCACACUACCUGCACGUUUUUCUCCUCUUUGAAUCACUACAUCUUGGAGCAUAUGGUGCUUAUCGGCACAACUUUCUUUCUUUCUUUCUUUCUUUCCGUUUUUUUUUUUCUAUUUACACUCACAUCCAGAUGGUCUGAUUUAAUUUCAAAGCUUCAAAUACCAUCUUCUACACCUGUAAUUCCCUACUUUAUAUCUCAAGCAUUCAUUGUGUUCCUAAACUCAGAUGUCAGUAACUAUCAAUGCCUGCUUGACUUUUGUACUUGAAUAUGUAAUAGAGCUCUUUAUCAAGCGUCAUUAUUUGAAUUGUUUUCUGCCAUAAACCUGAGAGUGCUUCAGUCUCCAUAAAUGACACCUUCUAUUUCACAACCAAACCUUGACCAAACCAUGAACAGGGAAAUCGUCUCAAUCUUAAAACUGAUACCCUGAGCUUGAUUAACUCUCAAUUCUUCUUCCACUGCUGCCACAUUCGCCCAGGCCACAUAGCUUCUCACCUGGGUAUUGUAGUAGCUUCGGCCCAAUUUAGUUAAUGAGCCACAAGAACUUCAAGUAAUUCUGCUAACUAGGAGAAGAUGUAGGAGUAAGGCAAACGCAGAAAAAUAAGCUUGAAGGGGACAGGGUCGUUUGUGAUGACAUUUAUUAACAUCUGAUGUUGUACAUAUGAAAACUAAGGAUGAAAGAUUGGUUUUUAGGACUCAAAUAACUUUAGAUUGAGAACCCUAAUAGGAUUUAAGACAAAAAUUCUAUUCCAUGAUAAUUUUAGUGUUCUUAGUGAUUUGAAAGUUGUAGGGUCGACGGGGAAAAUACUACUUUGUUUACAUUCAGGAACAUUGGAUCUCUGGACUUAAAUAUGACAGGUAAGAUGCAAAGGUGGGAUAUCACUUUAAAGUUUAUAUGAAGUGUGAGCAAUCAAUAUGUGCAUUUAAUUAACACGUUUCUACUUGUUUAGGAUAUUUUGCUUACUAUAAGGACUAAUAAAAGCUCUGAUAUACCAGGCUCCCCUCUGAUGGCAGUAAUGAUUCUGACCCAAUCUACUUGCUUGUACUUUCACACAUUCCAAUUUAUCCUGAAUGAUCUAUUUUGCCACUGGAAACAAGGUAGGAUAAUAAGAAAUACAAAGUUCUUUUAACUAGAUCUCUGAAUCAGGUUUUGAAUCAUUGAGGUGAAUCAUUCUGAUGUCUGGCCCCAGGCAGUGGAGAAGAAAUCCAUGAAAGAGAGCUUCUGAAAAAUGUCCACUACUCUCAAUCCCUUCCAGGUAUAUGGCCCUCUCUGAGAGCACUGAGCUAAGAACUCUUUCUUGACUUUAUUUCUUAAGUUUAAGUGAUACAUCUCAUUUAAAACUCCUUCACUUCUCUUAGUAUUUCUCCUUGACCUCCUUAGAUUAGAAUGUGGCGAGCAAGCGGCCAUGAAAGAAAUAAAACUGAGAAACAAAGUAUAUGAUAAGCACUGAAUCCCAGGUAACAAAAGAAAAUCUCUAACAUUCUAAACAAUGAGGAUACAUUUUGUUUUGAAAACUAAAGAGCCCAUCAACUGAUGACUGGAUAAAAAAGAUGGUUUAUAUAUACUAUGGAAUACUACUUGGUGAUGAGAAAGAAUGAAAUUUGGCCAUUUGCAGCAACCUGGAUGGAACGGGAGGGUAUUAUGCUAAGUGAAAUGAGUUAGUCAGAGAAAGACAGGUAUCCUAUGUUUUCACGCAUAUGUGGAUCUUGAGAAAUUUAACAGAAGACCAUGGGGGAGGGAAAGGGAAAAAAAGUUACAGACAGGGAGGGAGGCUAACCAUAAGAGACUCUUAAAUACUGAGAACAAACUGAGGGUUGAUGGGGGGUGGGGGAGAGGGGAAAGUGGGUGAUGGAUGUUGAGGAGGGCACUUGUUGGGAUGAGCACAGGGUGUUUUAUGGAAAUCAGUUUGACAAUAAAUUAUAUUAAAAAAACUAAAGAGAAGCAUAUUUUAUUAUUGCAAUAGCUCAUCCUCAUGGUUAUUACCAUGUGUACUAUAAAGAGCCAUGGUCUUAACCUCAUACCUUAUUUCCAAUUGAGAAACUGCUUAUAAUCACCCUCCGUGUAAUAAAGUACUGUGCUCUUCAAAUGUCCAGUAAGUACUUAUUUAAAAAUUAUUUUAUUUCACUUUGAUAUUUUGUUUGAUAUCUUUCCACACACAAGAAAAUUUCACUAUUAAUCAUAAUUAUGGAAAGUGAAGAAGUCUUUAAGAAAAUAUAAAUAAGCCUAAAAGUUUGGUGAAUUCAGAUUUUAUUAUUUUGAAUUUAACAUAAUGGUAAACACCAUGAAAGGCUAACAAACAUUAAAUUAUCCGUAAGAUGGAAGGACAGUGUUAAUUUUUCUUUAGUGAUUUUUUCUUUAGUUUGUGUGUGUGUGUGUGUGUGUGUCCUCAUAAUUUGCAUUUUUAAUCCUUUAGCUCAUAUAGACCUUUCAUGUUUCCUUUUGCAGUUUUUCAGUUUUGGUUUGUUUGUACCCAGAACUGUCCAAGAUCAAAGCCUUAUUGAGCAUUUUCGGGGAGUCAUAUUCACAUUUCUAUAUCACAUUUCAACUAAAACAAGAUUCAAGACGGAAGUGAUAGAGGAAGAGGAACAGAUAGAGGGAGAGUUUGAAUCCCAAGCAGACUUCAUGCUGUGAGCACAGACCCCUAAUUGGUGCUUGAUCCCACAACCCUGGGAUCAUGACCUGAACUGAAAUCAAAAGUCAGAUGCUCAGCCAACUGAGCCCCCAGGUGCUCCACAUCAUUUUACAUUUAUACAAAUACUUCUUCUAGCUUAUGCUACUACAUCUAAGGUCAGCUUAAUCAUAGUUUGGGAUAACUAUUCUUGUGUUUAUAAAGUUAAGGUGAAACAUUACAUCUUAAUAAAGUAACUUUUUUCCCCCUAAUUAAAUGGAUUUGAAUAAGGUGAAAAACUAAAAUCUAGAACCUCUUUUCACUAUUUUAUUUGUUGGGGGCAAACUUUAAAACUUAUCACUGCCAUUUUUCUUCAAUUACAAAAUUAGAAGGAUAUGAAAUGGUCAGGGGGAAGUUAUUACUGGAAACCCAGAAAUGGUCAACAGGUAUCUAAUUUUAUUCAUUGAACAAAGAGAGCUAAAGGGGGUAAGUUCUUUUGGCAAGAACUUAAAUGUAUUUAAAAGGGAAGAAAACUACACUAGUUGUUUGUUUCAUGAGUGGAAGAAAAGGAUACAUGGAAUUGAAGAAGCUAGGGGGGAAAGUGUCUAUUAAAUAAACACCUAUCAUUUGUGAAGCAGUUCUAGCAUGAGGUGUGGACCUUUGGUUUCUCUUGGGCAGUGAUCUUAUGUUUUAUGUAUUUAGAGUGAGAUUCUAUAGCUGGGUAAUGAGUGGGUAGAGUGAGAGAAUACGUUUUAAUUUCAAUUCAUAUCAAAUGACCAUGAUCACAGAUUUAGCACCUUAGAUUUACUUCCCUGUACUUGAGUCAUCUAUUGCUAUGAAUCCUGAGAAAGCAGUAUUCUGACAGCAUGCUGACAGCAUCUAUCCAUGCUGACAGCAGAGAGUCUGAUUCCGGGCUGGAACUCACAAA